rnacentral:rRNA from 1 species
UACCCCUAGCAAAUCUCAAAAAACCGGCCUCAGUACAGAUAGAAGUCUGCAACUCGACUUCUUGAAGUUGGAAUCGCUAGUAAUCGCUGAUCAGCACAGCAGCGGUGAAUACGUUCCCGGGCCUUGUACACACCGCCCGUCACACCAUGGGAGUGGGCUGCUACAGAAGUCGGUGCGCCAACCGCGAGGGGGCAGCCGCCUAAGAAGUGGUCAGCGACUGGGGUGAAG